rnacentral:rRNA from 1 species
CAAUAGCGUAUAUUAAAGUUGUUGCAGUUAAAAAGCUCGUAGUUGGAUUUCGGGGCAGCCUGGCUGGUCCGCCGCAAGGCGAGUACUGGUCAGCCGCCCUUCCUCUCGAAAGCCCCGACUGCUCUUUAUUGCAGUGGUCGGGUAGUUCGGGACGUUUACUUUGAAAAAAUUGGAGUGUUCAAGGCAGGCCUACGCCUGAAUACAUUAGCAUGGAAUAAUGGAAGAGGACCUCGGUCCUAUUUUGUUGGUUUCCAGGACCGAAGUAAUGAUUAAGAGGGACAGUUGGGGGCAUUCGUAUUUAAUUGUCAGAGGUGAAAUUCUCGGAUUUAUGAAAGACGAACAACUGCGAAAGCAUUUGCCAAGGAUGUUUUCAUUAA